ACUCGCUAGUUUACAGCUAGUCACGCACAUGAUGUUCUCCGACGAUAUAAUGCGAUCAAACCAGACUGACUGCAGCUGUCACCAGCUGUCAUGUGGAAACCGGGAAGGCCCCUCCUUUUGGUAACUUGUCCUCUCCGCUCGAUUCAAACUCACACGGAGCAUGUCUCGAAGCGAUAUAGCCCCAGCCAAUGCAGAGGCAAAACGAAAGCGAUGAGAUCCAGCAGUGACGGAAGUUUAAUUCCAAUGGACUAUGAGCGUUUCAAUGUCUUAAAGACGGGGAAAGCAUUCGAGUCAAUAAAACAACUGACCACCAAACUGAUUCACGUGGAAAAUCAGUAGGAAAGCAUGCAUUUCCAUCUGUUCAUCUUGAAACGAGUUUGCAGUGACGGCUUCGGUCUGCAUGUGAAUAUGGCUCAAAAAUGACCAAUGCAUCGUCUUGGUACUUCUGUUUUGAUGCUUAUUAUACUACCUCUUGCGUUUUCCUGUGAAAGUGGCCACAAUAAAAAACAGAUCACCGAGGAUUACCGCAAUAUCAUUAAGAUUCAGCUGAAGCACGUUGAGGCUAUGACUGAACAACUAAAUUCAAACUGCACAAUAAGAAAUGUGAGCAUGUUGAAGGAGCCAACAAAAUACACAACAGUCCACCCACAGAAAAAUCUGCAGGGUUAAUGGAAAACUGAGGAGAAUCAUGAGGGAAUCAGAGAAUGUAAAUGGACAACUAAAAGAUGGUUUAUAUAAGCUUGUGGAAGAAAUAAAUGCGUCUUUGAGAUGUUGGUGUCAUCAGAAGAGGGAGGGGACAAAAGAGCUGAAACAGCAAAGACGAAAGUGGAAGAUUUUGCAGAGUGAAAGACAUUCUUGCCAACUUAGAGAUACAAUAUGAACAAUACAAUACGUAUCUGUCCCUCAGCACAGACCUUCCAGAGCGUGGGAAGACUUCAGAGCAAACCGGUAUAUAAUACUUGGCCUCCAUCCAUCUCUCUUACAAGAUUUGAUUGUACAGAAUAUGAAGUAACUGGACUAACCAUAUGCCUUUCACACUAUUCAGUAUUUGUCUGAGGACAAAGUGUUUUUUAUGGGAAAAUAUAUGCAAAGCAUUAACAUGAAAAAUACUACUAUGCAUGAAAAUGUAUCAAAACUUUGUACUUUGUAUUGUUAUCUUUGCUAUUAAUUGCUGAAUGAGUACAGAGGGUGUGCAAAUGAAACUUACAGUGUUUCUGUACAUUGCUGUAAGUGACAAAGUUGGCCAAAGCCUAUUAUAUUAACUCUCUAGGCCUCAAGUUAGAACUUUAUGGUCUACAUCUGCUUCUUAUUUGGGGAAGCGAUUCAGCUCACCCAAUUCGAAUCAUUCUUAGCAAGCUGAUGAUUAAGCUACCAUUGAAACACUUGUUUUUUUUU